UGUCCAGGAAUGGGAAUCGAACCCACAGUGUUCUGCUUACCGGGCAGAUGCCAUGUCCAUGAGGGUUCAAUUCCCAUCUCUGGAC